UACGAAGGGGGCUAGCGUUGCUCGGAAUUACUGGGCGUAAAGCGCACGUAGGCGGUCUUUUAAGUCGGGGGUGAAAUCCUGGAGCUCAACUCCAGAACUGCCUUCGAUACUGGAAGACUUGAGUCCGGGAGAGGUGAGUGGAACUGCGAGUGUAGAGGUGAAAUUCGUAGAUAUUCGCAAGAACACCAGUGGCGAAGGCGGCUCACUGGCCCGGUACUGACGCUGAGGUGCGGAAAGCGUGGGGAGCAAACAGGGAUUAAGAAACCUAGUAACGUCC
rnacentral:rRNA from 1 species